AGGGUAAUAGCUCAGUGGUAGAGUGUAUGCUUAGCUCGCACGAGGUCCUGGGUUCAAUCCCCAGUGCCUCCA
rnacentral:tRNA from 1 species